rnacentral:ncRNA from 1 species
ACCAGGUGCUGUAGGCAUAAAUAAUAAUAAAUUAAAAAAAAAGAAAAGAACCACUACCUUUUCUAAGGAGAGCUCAGGGAGGAGAGAAUCUUCCAGUGGAGCAGAGGGCAAAAGCUUGCUUGAUCUUGAUUUUCAGUAAGAGUACAGACUGUGAAAGCAGGACUUCACGAUCUUUCUGACCCUUUGGGUUUUAAGCAAGAG